rnacentral:rRNA from 1 species
GAUGAACGCUGGCGGCGUGCCUAAUACAUGCAAGUCGAGCGAACAGACGAGGAGCUUGCUCCUCUGACGUUAGCGGCGGACGGGUGAGUAACACGUGGAUAACCUACCUAUAAGACUGGGAUAACUUCGGGAAACCGGAGCUAAUACCGGAUAAUAUAUUGAACCGCAUGGUUCAAUAGUGAAAGACGGUUUUGCUGUCACUUAUAGAUGGAUCCGCGCCGCAUUAGCUAGUUGGUAAGGUAACGGCUUACCAAGGCAACGAUGCGUAGCCGACCUGAGAGGGUGAUCGGCCACACUGGAACUGAGACACGGUCCAGACUCCGACGGGAGGCAGAAGUAGGGAAUCUUCCGCAAUGGGCGAAAGCCUGACGGAGCAACGCCGCGUGAGUGAUGAAGGUCUUCGGAUCGUAAAACUCUGUUAUUAGGGAAGAACAAAUGUGUAAGUAACUAUGCACGUCUUGACGGUACCUAAUCAGAAAGCCACGGCUAACUACG